rnacentral:misc_RNA from 1 species
ACGAAUGCGAGUCGGUCGAAAGUGCUGGCGGAAACGCACGUGCACGUCGAUCGCAAAACAUCCACACACCUGUGAACGUAUGGCCUUUGAGUCUUUUCGACUCGGGGCAACCAUUUUUUACCCACUCUGUAAAAGAAUGUUUAAAACGCGUAAAGCAAA